UACGUAGGGGCAAGCGUUAUCCGGAUUUACUGGGUGUAAAGGGGCGGCAGACGGCAAUGCAAGUCCGAAGUGAAAUCCCGCGGCUCAACUGCGGAACUGCUUUGGAAACUGUAUAGCUUGAGUAUCGGAGGGGUAAGCGGAAUUCCUGGUGUAGCGGUGAAAUGCGUAGAUAUCAGGAGGAACACCGGUGGCGAAGGCGGCUUACUGGACGAUAACUGACGUUGAGGCCCGAAAGCGUGGGGAGCAAACAGGAUUAGAUACCCUGGUAGUCCCUGAG
rnacentral:rRNA from 1 species